rnacentral:rRNA from 1 species
UUCCAAACACACAAGGGGCUACGGCAAGGAGACCCUAUGUCACCGAUCCUGUUUAACAUAGUGGCUGAUAUGCUGACUAUUUUAAUAGGUCGGGCAAAGGAUGCAGGACAGGUAGGUGGCCUGGUUCCACAUCUAGUAGACGGCGGGAUAUCCAUUCUUCAAUAUGCUGAUGAUACUAUCAUUUUUAUGGAACAUGAUAUAGCGAAAGCAAGGAACAUGAAGCUGCUGCUUUGCUUAUUUGAACAAUUGUCUGGGCUUAAAAUCAACUUCCACAAGAGCGAAUUGUUUUGCUUUGGAAGAGCAAAUGAUGACCGGGACUCGUAUCAACAAUUGUUCGGAUGUGAAUUGGGUUCUUUACCAUUUACGUAUUUAGGGAUACCCAUUCAUCAUCGUAAGCUAACUAAUAUUGAGUGGAAAUGUAUUGAGGAUCGUUUUGAAAAGAAACUGAGCUGUUGGAAAGGAAAGCUCAUGUCA